rnacentral:rRNA from 1 species
UACGAAGGGGGCUAGCGUUGUUCGGAAUUACUGGGCGUAAAGCGCGCGCAGGCGGUUCUUCAAGUCAGUGGUGAAAGCCCGGAGCUCAACUCCGGAACUGCCAUUGAAACUGUUUAGCUGGAGUAUGAGAGAGGUGAGUGGAAUUCCCAGUGUAGAGGUGAAAUUCGUAGAUAUUGGGAAGAACACCGGUGGCGAAGGCGGCUCACUGGCUCAUUACUGACGCUCAUGCGCGACAGCGUGGGGAUCAAACAGG